UGGAGUCGCGGAUCUCCAACUCUCAGGGACGUCGUACGCCUCGCUGAACCGUGAACUACAUGUCUUCGGAGUGACGAACGGCGCGGCCGAAGCACUCCAGCGCCAGAACCUGCAUGUGGCCGCCUCCUUCUUCCGCGUCCGCUUCCUAACUCGUGUCAUUCCUACG
rnacentral:misc_RNA from 1 species